rnacentral:rRNA from 1 species
AAAUUGAAGAGUUUGAUCAUGGCUCAGAUUGAACGCUGGCGGCAGGCCUAACACAUGCAAGUCGAACGGUAACAGGAAGCAGCUUGCUGCUUCGCUGACGAGUGGCGGACGGGUGAGUAAUGUCUGGGAAACUGCCUGAUGGAGGGGGAUAACUACUGGAAACGGUGGCUAAUACCGCAUAACGUCGCAAGACCAAAGAGGGGGACCUUCGGGCCUCUUGCCAUCAGAUGUGCCCAGAUGGGAUUAGCUUGUUGGUGAGGUAACGGCUCACCAAGGCGACGAUC